CGGAAAUAAAACAUGAUAUGAUGAGAAAUCAAAAUCAGGUGAAAACGAGGCUGAUCACUUUUUUCAGUAGCUUGGUAGCAACUUUCUAACCAACUCAUUAAUAUUCAUGACCAGUCUAUCAAUUUUGGCGAGCAGCUGAUCGAGGAAUCGUCCCGACGAUGAUCGAGCGACCAACAGCUUCGACAUUACAUACAUACAGUUAGUGAGAAGUCGUGAGUUUUUGUGAUCGUUUACGUACGCAGUAACAGAGAGAGGGUUUAGUCGACGUCAGUUCAAUCACGGAGGAAUAAUUCAAUUGAAUUAAUAUCAGUUUGUUGAUAGUUAGGCCUACACCUAUGGCUAUGCCUAGGAUUAACACAGUCAAUAUCUACCCAGCACCAGCGUCAGUACUCCCGUCCCGCUCGCAACAGGACUACAAUAUAGGUGAUAGGCAUACAUGACACCCUGGUCACAUGGUAUUUGACAGUUCCCAUGAUGAGACAGAAAUACCCCAACAUUUGCCAUUAGUACAACCACCCAACCUGCACCCAAAACUGGCAUCUAGUGAUAAAAGAUGGUGGUACAAAGCAUACAAGCACCCAGCAAGACCUUGGCAAGAAACACUCCGGUCGUCUACUGAAACUUGUAGUGGAAGCUACACACAAUGUAACGCGAGCAAUUUGUACCAAUAUUUCUACAACAUUAAUACAUUACAAACUAGCAGACAGGAAGUUUUUACGCAUCUGGUUUAUAUUGCAGCACUGUAUUACAAUGUGCAUGCCAAAUUUAUAAUAAAUAAAUAAUAUUUUUAGAAGUUUUAGAAUUGUUACUUGCAAAAUAUCUUUAAUACUAAUCAAUGUUAUUAUAAGUUUCUUGUUUUAAAACCGUGUAAUCCCAUUCAAUAGUAAUACUUUUGGAGCAAAUAUGUGACCCAGAUUUAUAAAACAACUUGUAGGGAUUAAUAUUGAAAUAUAUAAUGCACGAAAUUUAUAAUACAGUAUGAAAUGUGGCUGAAUAUAUACAGGAACAACUAUUUUAAUGUAUGGCUUUCUACAGUCUGGUGUAAAGUUAGUCUAUGAAUUUGGUUAUUUUGUAAUGGCUGGAUUAUGCCUAUGUCUGCAUGCUUUUAAACGUUUGCUGAUUAAUUUGGUAUUGCAAUUUAAAAGAAAACUUUGAUUUUGUUGUUGUACACCAUUUUUUGUUUAGUAUUUUGAAAUAUUUAUGUAGUUGAACUUGCCUAUGUCGUAUCCAAAAUGCCAUUGAGAAAUUGUUUGACAAAACUAAAUUGACUUGCACUUGCAGUAAUGGAAAACUACAAUUCGGCAUGUAAAAUUAGAUUGACUUUUUUGAAAUUAGGGCAAAGUCGUUUUAGGCAAGUUUAACUGAUUUAUUUGUCAUGUUUAAUUGCCUUGUAUUAUUUACUAUAGCCAAGAUUUCUUCUUUCAUGAUGAUUUUCAACAUCCCUGAUAUUUUUGGUGCUUUACUUGGUUAUUGAUUAUUACUGUACAUAAAUUCAAGAGUACUGGUGUAACUAAAUAAAUAUUUUUUAAACACA